AGAGGGUGCGAGCGUUAAUCGGAAUUACUGGGCGUAAAGCGUGCGUAGACGGUUAUUUAAGUCGGAUGUGAAAGCCCCGGGCUCAACCUGGGAAUUGCAUUCGAGACUGAAUAGCUAGGGUGCGGUAGAGGGAAGCGGAAUUUCCGGUGUAGCGGUGAAAUGCGUAGAUAUCGGAAGGAACAUCAGUGGCGAAAGCGGCUUCCUGGACCAGCACCGACGUUCAGGCACGAAAGCGUGGGGAGCAAACAGGAUUAGAUACCCUGGUAGUCCACGCCAUAAACGAUGAGGACUAGACGUUGGAGGGGUAAGCCUUUCAGUGUCGUAGCUAACGCGCUAAGUCCUCCGCCUGGGGAGUACGGCCGCAAGGUUG
rnacentral:rRNA from 2 species